rnacentral:rRNA from 1 species
UACGGGGGGGGGCAAGCGUUGUUCGGAAUUACUGGGCGUAAAGGGCUCGUAGGCGGCCAACUAAAGUCGAACGUGAAAUCCCCGGGCUCAACCCGGGAACUGCGUCCGAUACUGGCAGGCUUGAAUCCGGGAGAGGGAUGUGGAAUUCCAGGUGUAGCGGUGAAAUGCGUAGAUAUCUGGAGGAACACCGGUGGCGAAGGCGGCGAUCCUGGACCAACAUUGACGCUGAGGAGCGAAAGCGUGGGGAGCGAACAGG